rnacentral:misc_RNA from 1 species
GAACGCACAUUGCGCCCACUAGUAUUCUGGUGGGCAUGCCUGUUCGAGCGUCAUUUCAACCCUCAAGCCUGGCUUGGUGUUGGGGCUCUGCGCCUGCAGUCCCUUAAAUCCAGUGGCGGACACGCUAGGUCUCCGAGCGCAGUAGUUUCUUCUCGCUCAGGGCGUCCGGCGUGGGCUUGCCUCGCACCCAUCUUAUCAAGGUUGACCUCGGAUCAGGUAGGAAUACCCGCUGAACUUAAG